UGCACUCCAGCCUGGGUGACAGUGCGAGACUCUGUCUCAAAAAAAAAAAAAAAAGAAGAAGAAGAAGAAAUGUACCUUCUAGUCCUAAAAACACCAAUAACCCAAAAGGUCCAAUGAGAACCGUCUGGCUCAGGCACAGUGCACCUCACAUCUGCACUUCAUGGACCAUCGUUGAAAAUUUCCAACCCCGGUUGGACACUUUCAUGAUUAAGAAUGCACGGCUGUAAGGUUUCAGACCUUGUUACCACACCGUCGGAACCACCAAGGUGCUCUGAAACAUAAAAUGAACAACCACUUUCUGGUGUUGACUGUGUGCCAGGCACAAUCUACAUGCAAAAAUGAACUGUCCUAGUGACGACCUUCAAAGGACUCCCAGUGGCAUACAGGAGACCAACAUGGAGAGAGGCAAUCAUAAUACAGGAAGCCUCCUUUAAUCAGUUUAUUUAUUCAACAGAAAUUUACCGAGUGCUUACUAUGUGCCAGGCACUGUUAUAGGUACUAGACAUACAGCAGUAAAUGAAACAGACACAAAAUCCUUGCCCUCAUCAAGCUCGUUUUAUUCUAAAGGGGUGGAUAAUAAAGAAAUAAAUUCAUAAAAUAUAUGGGGAUCAGAUGGUGAUAAACCUGAUCAAGUAGAGAAGGAAAGGCUGGGAGCAGUGACUCACGCCUGUAAUCCCAGCA
rnacentral:lncRNA from 10 species